rnacentral:misc_RNA from 1 species
UCUCCGUUGGUGAACCAGCGGAGGGAUCAUUACUGAGUUAUCCAACUCCCAAACCCAUGUGAACUUAUCUCUUUGUUGCCUCGGCGCAAGCUACCCGGGACCCAGCGCCCCGGGCGGCCCGCCGGCGGACAAACCAAACUCUUGUUAUUCAAUGGAUUAUCUGAGCGUCUUAUUUAAUAAGUCAAAACUUUCAACAACGGAUCUCUUGGUUCUG